AUCUAGCUGACGAGUCAGAAAUAAAACGAAAUGCGCGUUCUGGAU
rnacentral:hammerhead_ribozyme from 1 species